AGCAGAGUGGCGCAGCGGGAGCGCGCUGGGCCCAUAACCCAGAGGUCGAUGGAUCGAAACCAUCCUCUGCUA